rnacentral:misc_RNA from 1 species
GUAGGUGAACCUGCGGAAGGAUCAUUAAUGAAUAACUAUGGCGCUGGUUGUAGCUGGCUUCUAGGAGCACUGUGCGCACCCGUCAUUCUUAUCUUUCCACCUGUGCACCUAAUGUAGGCCUGGAUACCUCUCACUCUUUACUGAGUGGAUGCAAGGAUUGCUGAGCCCACUGUAGGCCCUAGCUCUCUUUGAAUUUCCAGGUCUACGUAUUUUUACACACCCCAAUUGUAUAACGAAGAAUGUAGUCAAUGGGCUUCUAUGCCUAUAAAACAAAUACAACUUUCAGCAACGGAUCUCUUGGCUCUC